ensembl:lncRNA
GGCAAAUUAAGCUGCAAGUACUAUGUACUAUGGAUAUUGAGUGGCGUUGUACCCAAAGGGGGCCUACAUGUCAACAACACAAUACAAAACACACUGGCAUUGUACGUUUUGUAUUUAUUAUUUAUUUAUUUUACUGAUAAUGUUUUGACACUUUUUAGUAUUUAGAUGUCUUUCCCUGAAUUCGUUCACUAACUGCAGGUGUUGAAUUUAAGAACUUGAUGGGAUGGUUUUGCAGGUUUGAUUUAAUUGAUCGUACUGUAGGUAAUAUUGAACAUUAAAUUAAUCCAGAGAUCGUUUGUUUUCUGUGUUGUGAAGCUUCGCUUUAAUGUUUUAUGGCAGUGGUCUCCAACCCUGCUCCUGGAGAUACCGUCCUGCAGAUUUCAGCUCCAACCCCAAUCAAACACACCAGAACCAGCUAAUCAAGGUGUUCAGGGCUACUUGAUAAUUACAGACAGGUGUGUUGGAGCAGGGUUGGAACUGAAGUCUGCAGGACGGUAGCUCUCCAGAAGCAGUUUUGGAGAUCCCUGUUUUACGGACUGGGAAAUCGCUCCAAAUGAUUCAGCGCAUGAGUUAGCUGUGCGAACAAUUGAAUAUGAAUCGAACUGUAUCAGACCGUUUUGCUAAUCCGUUUGGACAAUUCAUAGAAAUGAACUGACUCAAAAAAGUCAUUCACUCACGAAUUGAGCAUCGCUUGUUCUGAUUCUACACAGACUGCGGAAACAUGGGACAUACGACAUAACUGUUAUUGUGAUGCAAAAUAUUGUGAGGGAAAAAAUGAUUCUCAGGUCAGUAAAUGGUGGGAUACUUUCUUCCUUCAACUCGAGCCUCUACACUUCACCACUGUUGGAUUAAGGGACCAUGAGAUACAGGAAGAGCGUUCUGAUGAAGCCCCUGCUGGCUGCAUUUUCUCUCUGUUAAAAAGAUAUCGGCAAGACCCCUCUCUUCAAUCCCCUCCUGUUUGAAACAGAUGUGAAUCCUGACCCAGUUCUAUCUCUCCUGCUUCUCUUAGGCAUCCAUUGAAUCCACAGACAGACAGAUGCACAGACACACAGACAGACAGACAGAAGUUAUAAAACUUUUAUUCCAUCUGCAAGCAGGGAGAACAAACAGCAAGAACAAAGCAAAGCCACAAAAGGGAAUAAUAGACAAAGAAGAGACUGCGUGAGAGAAAAGACAGCAUGCUCCUUUACGACUGACUGAUGUGCUGUCCAACAGAGCCUUUCAGUCUUUUGCCUCAGUACAGAUUUGUCGCCAGCCUAUUGCAGUUACUGGUGGAGACAGACACAGAGAGACCAUCCUGUUUUUAAGGCUGGGUAUGUUUGUUCCUGUGAGUUAAAAUGCUGAAGACUGUUUCUGCUGUUGUCCUGUUAAGCUAUGGCUAAUGAAGUGGUAAAUUAAAGCGGAUAUGUCACACUCUGACACAAAACUCAUUUUCGGAUGAUGUACGGCUGAAGUGUUUUACAUUGAAAAUGUCUGUCAGAGUCGUGGGCUGGUUAGCACAAAUUCUCUGAGGAACCACAUGCUUUUUUUGUUUUUUGUUUUUCGAGGGAACACCACUGAUUACUUUUGGCACAGAUGG